GGCCCGACCCGGCGGGGCCGAGGAGGCCGCGGGCCGAUGCGGGAGUCUGUGCGUGCUCUUGGAGUCUUAUCCUUCCAUCUCCUCUCUACGCAGAGAUUACGCUUCCAGAAACACCCUGGGGAAAGCCUGGCAGCGGAUGACAGAGAGAGCUGCGGCCUGGAUGGGCCCUGCUGCAAAGGGAAGGAAUCGCUCCAUUUACGGAGCGUUACCUUCCCGUGAAGCGCUCUUCCUUCGUUGCCUCCUUUCGUCUUUUUGCGUUGUGAGCCCUCCUGAUAAGUGUGGGCAUGUGCCCGUGCACUUCCAGUGAAAAGUGAACAGAAGAGCCGUGCACGUUUUCCAGGCCUGGCCCAUGACAGCCUUCAACAGUGCUCUUCUGUGCUCUUACUCUGCCAUCUGGAAGCAAAUGAUGACCAGAUUCUGGAGAAGACAAGGCCUCAAGACUGAAGAUUCAUGAGUGAAGGAGAACCUACCCCACCAACCUGCAUGUCCACUCACAGCUUUGCCUAUCCUGCCUAAUGUGAAUAAGAACAGUGAACUUUAGGAGAAAUUUUCUAAAUGACUUCAAUUGACGUUAUCCAUAAUAGGAAAUAGAAAGUGGCUUUGAUUCAUUCACCGAGGAAGGAGGGAUUUUUCAGGGUCUUGCUAAGUUGCUGAGCCUGGCCUCAAACUUGUGAUCCUCCUGCCUCAACCUCUUGGGUCUCUUAGAUUACAGGUCUACAAAAGAGAGGAUCUGUCCUGGUGAAAAUUAUUUCAGGAACUGUACUCAAUGAGGUUCCAUCUAGACUUGAGUUGGUGUUGAGAUUCUGGACUUGGAACUGGUGCCAAAAUAGGAUGAAGCUUUUGAGGACCUUGGGAGAAAAAAGUGCUUUGUGGAGAGGACCUGGAUCACUGGCUGCCAGGGAACAGAGUGUCGUAGGUAGGUAGCCUCUACAGUGGCUCCUGGUGAUUCUUCCCACCUCCUCUUCAUACUCUCCAGCCCUUGAGCAUGAACAGGAGCCAGUGAGUCGCUGCUAAGACCACAGUGUGGUGGAAUCUCUCUUCCAGAGCUCAUGAGAUUGUGGCUUCCCUUUUGGGCCCCUUCUCUCAUUCUCUGGCUUAACUUCUCUCAGGGAAGACAGCUGCCAUGUUGUAAGCUACCUCACAGAAGAGCCCUUGUGGUAAAGAACCGAUGUCUGACCGACAUCUGCCAAAUAGCUAUGUUAAUGAGCUUGGAAGAGGAUCUUGCCCGGGAGGAGGAGUGGGAAGUCCUGACCAACACGAGGACUGCAAUUUCCUCAGAAGCCUUGAGCAUGCAGGAGAGAGGUCAUGGUGGCCUGAAAUAAAUGACUGCUGUGGAUGAGGAAUAAACGGAUCUGAGAUCUGUUUUGUGGGUGGAAUCAGCAGGGGCUGGUGAGGGCUUACAUGUUGGGGAGAGAAGCAGGGAAGCUAUCCUGCGUUAUCCCAGGGCACAGGCAGCCCAGCAGACAGUGGUGCACUUAUUAAGAUUGAGCACACUGGGAAAAAAAGGUUCAAGCACGGUCAGUAGGGGCUCAGGGACUGCACGGCAGCGGUGGACGGACAAAAGCAAGCAGUCAGCCUGUCGCUGACCAUCAUUCUCUCUGCAACCGUGCUCAAGCAGCACGGGUUUCACCAGUCACCCCAUUAACAAAAGCCCCCUGAUGCUGCCAUGAUUGAAAAGAAAGCAAGCAGUGGUGGAGAAAUUGGAACCCUCGUGCAUUGCUGGUGGGAAUGUAGAUAGUGACGCUAAGACUACCCCUCAGUCCAGCAGUUCCACUCCUACGUAUAUAACCCAAAUGUUUCAAAAUAGAUAUUCAGAACUGGGGGGUCGAGCUCAGUGGUAGAGUGUUCCCCUAGUAUGUGAGGCACCCCGUGUGCUCCCCAGCUCAGGAAGGAAGGAGGAGAGGAAAAAAAAGAUGAAGAAAUACUUCUACACAGAUGCUCACAGCAGCUUUAUUCACAGUGGCUGAAAGAUGGAGACAAUCCCUAUGUCUGUGAGCUGAUAGAUGGAUAAACAAAAGGCAGGUGCUGUUCCCCAAGGAUAGUGAUGGGAGUGCUGUGAACCUUUAAGAGGCAGGCCUUACGGGUGGUCCUUAGGUCACGGGGGAGGUGGGUGUGCUCUUAGAAGGCCAAUCUGGUUCUCUCCCUCUGCUUCCUGGCUUGGGUAGUACUGCUGGCUCUGACAUGCACUCCCACUGGGAGGUAGCCCUCACCAGAGGCCCAGACCAGCAGGGUCUCCUGAUGUUGAGCCUCCAGAACCCACUCAGAACAGUGAUCCAAAAUAACCUCUUCCCUUGCUAAGUAGCCUACAUCGGGUAGUAAUUCUUACAGGUGACUGUAAUACCUGCAUCAGCUAGUAACAGUUGACUCAUACAGGUGGUACCUCCAUCUUUUUUUGGCAAUAGUGGGAUUGAAACUAGAGGCUCCCUACCACCCCCUAUCCCUGAGCUACAUUCCCAGCCCUCUCUUUCUCUCUUUC